GACGAACGCUGGCGGCGUGCUUAACACAUGCAAGUCGAACGGAAAGGCUCCAGCUUGCUGGAGUACUCGAGUGGCGAACGGGUGAGUAACACGUGGGUAAUCUGCCCUGCACUCAGGGAUAAGCCCGGGAAACUGGGUCUAAUACUGGAUAUGACCUUUCUCCUCAUGGUGUUUGGUGGAAAGUUUUUGCGUUUAGGGAUGGCCCGCCGGCUUAUCAGCUUGUUGGUGGGGUAUUGGCUUACCAAGGCAACGACGGGUAGCCGGCCUGAGAGGGUGAUCGGCCACAUUGGGACUGAGAUACGGCCCAGACUCCUACGGGAGGCAGCAGUGGGGAAUAUUGCACAAUGGGCGGAAGCCUGAUGCAGCGACGCCGCGUGAGGGAUGACGGCCUUCGGGUUGUAAACCUCUUUCAGCAGUGACGAAGCGUAAGUGACGGUACCUGCAGAAGAAGCACCGGCUAACUAUGUG
rnacentral:rRNA from 1 species